AAAAAAAACGUAAAGAUAGCACGAGUGACUAUCCUUUCGUCUGUUUCUUCUUCUUGUUCUUCGUUUUCUGCCACCUUUGGUCUCUUCUGUCUUUUUCCCGUUUGGUG
rnacentral:ribozyme from 1 species